GAUGAACGCUGGCGGCGUGCUUAACACAUGCAAGUCGAACGGAAAGGCCCAAGCUUGCUUGGGUACUCGAGUGGCGAACGGGUGAGUAACACGUGGGUGAUCUGCCCUGCACUUCGGGAUAAGCCUGGGAAACUGGGUCUAAUACCGGAUAGGACCACUUCUUGGAUGUUGUGGUGGAAAGUUUUUUCGGUGUGGGAUGAGCUCGCGGCCUAUCAGCUUGUUGGUGGGGUAAUGGCCUACCAAGGCGUCGACGGGUAGCCGGCCUGAGAGGGUGUACGGCCACAGUGGGACUGAGAUACGGCCCAGACUCCUACGGGAGGCAGAAGUGGGGAAUAUUGCACAAUGGGCGCAAGCCUGAUGCAGCGACGCCGCGGGGGGGAUGACGGCCUUCGGGUUGUAAACUCCUUUCGCUAGGGACGAAGCGUUUUGUGACGGUACCUGGAGAAGAAGCACCGGCUAACUACGUG
rnacentral:rRNA from 1 species